GCAUAACGCGAAGAACCUUACCUGGCCUUGACAUUGAUAGAAUCUGCUAGAGAUAGCGGAGUGCCCUUCGGGGAGCUUGAAAACAGGUGCUGCACGGCUGUCGUCAGCUCGUGUCGUGAGAUGUUGGGUUAAGUCCCGCAACGAGCGCAACCCUCGUCACUAGUUACUAACGGUUCGGCCGAGGACUCUAGUGAGACUGCCUUCGUAAGGAGGAGGAAGGUGAGGACGACGUCAAGUCAUCAUGGCCCUUACGGCCAGGGCGACACACGUGCUACAAUGGGAUGUACAAUGAGACGCAAUACCGCGAGGUGGAGCAAAUCUAUAAAACAUCUCUCAGUUCGGAUUGUAGUCUGCAACUCGACUACAUGAAGCUGGAAUCACUAGUAAUCGUAGAUCAGCCAUGCUACGGUGAAUACGUUCCCGGGUCUUGUACACACCG
rnacentral:rRNA from 1 species